CUUGUACUGUUGCUAUACAGUGAGAAAGGAUCAGCGUGUCAGGUAUUAGUCAACGGUGUAGUGCGGCACCGUGCUUAUUCUCAGAAGCAACAAGGAUCUACCCCCACCGGCUACGCUCACUAUGCAGGGAUUCAAGGGCUUGAUGGACUGAGCCACGACAAGAGUCGAAAAGCUUGCUGGCGCCGGCUACAUUUGAAAUAUUCGGCUGUCGUCGAACGGGCUACGACAUCGCUUUCUACACGAACACGAGGGCAAAAGUACAGCUUGUCGGCUAAGCCUUUAGGGCAAUUCUGCGGUCGUGAUGACGUUUCGCGAAUCAUGGAAGCUCGGUACUCCAGAGGGCUUGCUGUGCACACGCACAUCACAGGGGCCAUAGCAGACCCAUGCAGCUAAUCAGACUUGACAAGAUGGCAAAUCCAGCAACAUGGUAUAACUCAACAACGUCCGGAUCACUACCCUGGUCAAGAAACGAUAGGAACUGCCUGAGGCGCUGUGAAAGGAGAUGCCUUUUCCCGGCAUCCAUUGCGGCCCCCCAGGAACGCCAGGGUUCUUCUGGGCCACUGAGCUUCCGGACUGUGACGUCAUCGAGAAGGAAGUCGUUACCUUUGGAAACCAUGCCUUGUACUAGUAAAAAAAAUAUCCCUCUGA
rnacentral:lncRNA from 1 species